UCAGCAGCCGCGGUAAUACAGAGGUCCCAAGCGUUGUUCGGAUUCACUGGGCGUAAAGGGUGCGCAGGUGGCCGCGCAAGUUCGAUGUGAAAGCCCCGGGCUUAACCCGGGAAUGGCAUUGAAAACUGCGUGGCUGGAGGAUCGGAGGGGGGACUGGAAUUCUUGGUGUAGCAGUGAAAUGCGUAGAUAUCAAGAGGAACACCAGUGGCGAAGGCGAGUCCCUGGACGAUACCUGACACUGAGGCACGAAAGCCAAGGGAGCAAACAGGAUUAGAUACCCUGGUAGUCUUGGCUGUAAACGGUGCGCAUUUGCUGUAAACGGAAUCGACCCCGUUUGUGGCGAAGCUAACGCGAUAAAUGCGCCGCCUGGGAAGUACGGUCGCAAGAUUAAAACUCAAAGGAAUUGACGGGGGCCCGCACAAGA
rnacentral:rRNA from 1 species